rnacentral:tRNA from 1 species
UCCCUGUGGCUCAGUUGGUAGAGCAUGGUGUUUGCAACGCCAGGGUUGUGGGUUCGAUUCCCACGGGAA